rnacentral:rRNA from 1 species
UACGUAGGGCGCAAGCGUUAUCCGGAAUUAUUGGGCGUAAAGAGCGCGUAGGCGGUUUGUCGCGUCUGCCGUGAAAGUCCGGGGCUCAACUCCGGAUCUGCGGUGGGUACGGGCAGACUAGAGUGAUGUAGGGGAGACUGGAAUUCCUGGUGUAGCGGUGAAAUGCGCAGAUAUCAGGAGGAACACCGAUGGCGAAGGCAGGUCUCUGGGCAGUAACUGACGCUGAGGAGCGAAAGCAUGGGGAGCGAACAGG